UACGCUGGCGGCACGCCUAACACAUGCAAGUCGAACGAGUAGCAAUACUAGUGGCAGACGGGUGAGUAACAUGUAGGUAUCUGCCCUUUGGCCUGGAAUAACACGAGGAAACUUGUGCUAAUACCGGAUAAGUCUUUACGGAGAAAGCUUUAUGCACCAUUGGAUGAGCCUGCACUUGAUUAGUUUGUUGGUGGGGUAAUGGCCUACCAAGACUGUGAUCAAUAGCUGAUUUGAGAGGAUGAUCAGCCACAUUGGGACUGAGACACGGCCCAAACUCCUACGGGAGGCAGCAGUGGGGAAUCUUGCACAAUGGAGGAAACUCUGAUGCAGCGAUGCCGCGUGAGUGAAGAAGGCCUUUGGGUUGUAAAGCUCUUUCGUCGGGGAAGAAAAUGACUGUACCCGAAUAAGAAGGUCCGGCUAACUUCGUGCCAGCAGCCGCGGUAAUACGAAGGGACCUAGCGUAGUUCGGAAUUACUGGGCUUAAAGAGUUCGUAGGUGGUUGAAAAAGUUGGUGGUGAAAUCCCAGAGCUUAACUCUGGAACUGCCAUCAAAACUUUUCAGCUAGAGUAUGAUAGAGGAAAGCAGAAUUUCUAGUGUAGAGGUGAAAUUCGUAGAUAUUAGAAAGAAUACCAAUUGCGAAGGCAGCUUUCUGGAUCAUUACUGACACUGAGGAACGAAAGCAUGGGUAGCGAAGAGGAUUAGAUACCCUCGUAGUCCAUGCCGUAAACGAUGUGUGUUAGACGUUGGAAAUUUAUUUUCAGUGUCGCAGCGAAAGCGAUAAACACACCGCCUGGGGAGUACGACCGCAAGGUUAAAACUCAAAUGAAUUGACGGGGACCCGCACAAGU
rnacentral:rRNA from 1 species